AUGCUCUGGUUUCUCUUCAUAACGAAUAAGUCUUUCGCCUUUUACUAAAGAUUUCCGUGGAGAGAAACAAUUGAGUUUACCACCAAAUUUUUUGAUGUCCUGCUUAGGCAGGGCU
rnacentral:snRNA from 1 species